rnacentral:lncRNA from 1 species
UGACAGCAUCUCCAUAGAUACGCAGGAAGCAGAGAGAACAAAUGGAAGUGAGGAAGAGAUGCGUCUGGCUGAAGAUGGGCUCUUGGAUUGCUUGCUUCCGGCCUCGAGAACAGAGAGAUCCCUUUCAGCCUGGCCCAUAAAGAUCCAGAGCCAUACUGUCCUGGCUUGAUGGCCUUUGGUGAAGGAGCUUGUCUAACACUGAUAGCAGAAGCUAUGUUGCUCUGCCUGGGGAACAUAGUGAGAUGGCUCAGCGGGUGAAGGCUGCCCACCGAGCCUGAAUCCUGAGUUUGAUAUCAAGAAUCCAUGUGACUAGAGAGGAGAACUGACUCCCAAACCUUGUCUUCUGACCUCCACAUGUGUUCUGUGAAAUGGGUGUACUCAGGCAGGGACUCACACACCUAAUGCUAAAUAAAUGGUAUUUUUAAACUUUAUUAACAUUAAUCCAUCAAAUAGUCAUCUUAACAGAUAAAAGAGAUGAAGAUAAAUUCAGGCUAUCGAAAGGACAGUUGCAUCACUGGGACUCAGUUCUGCUCCAUGGUCAGCUUGAGGACAGAAACAUGAACCAGCAUGCGUGGGAUUAAUGUUAAGCUGCUUUGUCAUCAAUGCUAAAUCUGUUGAUUCAGGUUUUGAUUUCCUGUCUGUACAAAGCCAUGU